rnacentral:lncRNA from 1 species
UUUUUCACUCAAAAGAGCAAUUGCUUCAUUUGAAAAUUGUCAACUGACAAAGUGGAAACGAAUGGGAGGGAGACAUAUAGAGACUGGAGGUCGAAGGUGGCCUGUCUUAGCUUUUCCGGUGAUGGAUGUCAUUCAACCUUAGCUGUGCACCAGAAAAUCCCUUGAAAUGUGGCAAUUUUAUUUUAGCAAGGAGAUUGAAAAACGCUUACCUGAAUGGAGUUUUUAAAAGCAGAUUCACUCAGCUUUCCGGCAAUCGAUGGACUGUAAAAGGACUAAUAAAAUGUUCCAAUUAAACCGAAUGCGAUCAAUAAAGGACACAGGCGCUGGCAACUUAAAGCUUUACGCUUAUUGAAAGCCCAUCUAUCUGGCUCUUACUGCCAGUCGUGCCCCCGGCAACACCCGCCCUUCAUUCUCCUAUUACUCCAGGCAGCUGCGUUGAUUGCCGUAACAGCUUUUGAAAUUAAGUCGCUGCAAGUCGGCUAUAGUUGGGGGCACGGGAUUGGGGCGAGAAAGGGUAAGGAUUGCAGUACCGGGGGACAGGACAUUCCCAGCAAGACGAAAUGAGGCUGACAACCAGCUCAGGCCACACAGAGAAAAUGUGUGAUCCAAAGUGCUCCAUCACUACUUGUAACUCACUAAUCCUAUUUGGAAAUCUUAAUUAGCUCUAAAAUAGUUUUCACCUUUUAUGGGUAUUUUUGUAAUUAGGCAAAAAUAAU